CCCUAUUUACGUUUUCGACUAAAAAAGAGAGAGUUUAGAACCUCUACGUUUGAGAUUUUUGGCGUGAGAUAGAGACGAUUUGAGGUUUCGUUCUUCAUGAUUUCUCGUUUCAGUAAUAGAAUUGAAGUAGCAUAUCAAGAGGUUCUUACAUUAAAGAGGAAAUAGGAGCACAUUCAGAGCUCAUUCGUGAGGAAGAUGAGAUUUGGCAAGCUGAGAGUGAGCAAAAAGUAAAUGGUGGAGUUGCUGACAAUGAAAAGCGCCGAACGAAAAACAGCGAACGUGCCAAAGAAACUAGCUACCUACUAGUCAUAGUAAACUAGCGCCUGGUGCUUUUCGAGGGAGCUUAAGAUUGUGGAGAAGAACAAUGGACAGGUUUUGUAGAUGGGCGAUUUUAUGGAUUUUCCGCUUUGAAUAGCAUGUUUGUUGUGCGUUUAGGUACUUUUCGAGUGGGCUUAAGAAAAUGGAGAAGAACAGUGGACAGGUUUUGCAGAUGGACGAUUUUUUGGUUUCUGAUUUGAAUAGCAUGUUUCUACGUAGAUGUGUACACGUCUGUACACCAGUGUAAACUAAGAUUUAAAAAAAAUGCGAAUUAUAUA